UACAAAUUUUUUUUUUUCCCAUUAACUCCAUCCCUUCCCCUCUCCCUCUCUCUCAUGUACACUUCUUAUAAGCAAUGCCUUAUGCCUGCCUUAAUAGGUUAUUAAUGCUUAAAGAGUAACGGAACUGUAUUUGAUUUCAGUCAUUCAUUUUUGCAUUUAUUGAAAGAAGACUAAAAAGCAGAGCCACUCAUCCUCCCACGAAAAUUAAAGCCAUCCAUAGAAAUUAGGCCUCCACCCAAAAAAAAAACAAAUUGUUUAGAUAUUUAGCAAUUAAAUUAUUGAAUUCAUCAUUAUCCAAGUUUGACAAAUUCCAUAGCUCAAAUUCAGUCCAAUUCCAUAACAGGAUUUAUUUUUUUACAAAUUUAUUAUCUUUUACCUAUCUAAACUACAGCAAUUAUAGAGUCAAAAUUGUCUGUUUCUCUCUGGUCCCCUCCCCCAAUUUUCUAAUCCCUCUCUACCUUGCUUAGUUUUCCAAUCAACCAAACAAUUUUAAAAGAAAAUUCUAAGAAAAAAAAAAGAGGAAAUUAAGCAGCAGCUAAAUUAUACAAUUGAAGCAAAGAGAUCCUUUUCAUUCUCUGCAAAUAUCCAACAUUACAAGAUUAUAUCUUUCCUUUUUCUCACUUCCAUCGCCAUUCUCAUCAUCAAUGCCAACGACAUAUUAUAUAAAAAUCUUACACCAAAAAAAAAAUAAUAAAAGAGGCAUUUAUUCAAGAUGAAGUAUCUGAAGAACCUGACACUCUAGGGGAAGUGACCGGGAAGAGAGGCAACAACCGUGGCUCCGCUUCUCUUGGUGUAGUUGCCGGAGACGGAUGCAAGUAAAAGCCCUUCUCUUUGAUUGCUUUCUCCUCUGCACCAGCAUCUAAUAGAUUACCAUUCACACUGUUAUUGUUGUGGUUUCUGUUAGGAUUAUUCACGGGACAAUAACAGUUACUGUAAUUUGCUGCUCCAGAUCGGUCAAAGGGGUCAGGUAUUAAGGGAGUCACUGGGCUGAGAGCGAGGGCUGGAAAGUCUAGGAUGCUUGGAGAGAGGAUCUCGGGUUUUCGAGGCGAGAAUCCGGAACUGGGAGGAGCGAAAAUUGGGUUGAGCGGAUUGAUCUUAAGGUUUUUGAGGGAGUUUCUACGUUCGUACAGUUUGAACCCAGAGGAUUGAUUCUUUUUGGGCAUGGAUUUGAUAGGAGGGAUAUUGUGGGCAUGGGGUUUAGGUGAUGGGUCUGGUUGGGAAGCGGCGGCAGCAGUGUUGGUGGGUUUGGGGGAUCCCGUCAACAUUUGGACGACUUGUUUGAAGGAGGAGGUAUCUGCUUGGACAAAAGUUGUUGGGUAAGGGUUGGCGGAUUCGGAUCUGGUGAUGGGUUUGGGUGAGGGAAUUUGUUGUUGAUUGGUGUGAAAUCCAUUAUUAGUGGUGGUGGUGGUGGUGGUGUUAGUGUGUAAAGUCGGGCCUUUUUGUUGUUGUUCACAAAGUGAUGCUUGUUUGGUCAUUUGCAGCGAGGCCAUAUAGCACCUAUGCAAUUUGGCUGUCAAAGUUGCCGAGAGAAGUUUUGAGGGCGAUGAUUGUGAUGCACUGGGAUUAUAAGGGAAAUUGGUCCUAGCCCUUGGUCCACACAUAAGCCUUGCAGCUUCAUCAUAAGCUCGAGCAGCGUCUUCAGCCGUUUCGAAUGUGCCUAACCAAAUUCUAGUCUUCAAUAGAGGGUGGCGAAUUUCGGAUACCCAAGAGCCCCAAUGCCUUUGUCGGACGCCUCGAUAUCGCUGUUGUGGUCUGGCCAUGUUAGUGAAAAGAAACGGUUUUCUUUUGGGAAAUUGUUUGUGGAAAUGCCUGAAAGCAAGCAAGAAAGAAAGAAUGAGGUAAGACAAGAGAGUGAUUGAUGGUCUAGUGAAUGGGUGGGGGGAGAAGUGGGUUUUUGUAGUUGGAUUUGUUCACAGACAGGGGCAACUGGUCUCUUUUUC
rnacentral:misc_RNA from 1 species